GCAUGUGUCCAUACUGCCCUGAAUAAGCUCAAUCUUGUCUGAUCUCGGAAGCUAAGAUCAGGCCUGGUUAGUACUUGGACUGAAGAAAACUGCACGCCUGCU
rnacentral:rRNA from 1 species